GGAUGUGAGGGCAAUCUGGAUGUGACAUCUGCCACCCCAUUGAUCACCAGGGUUGAUUCAGCUGAUCUGGUGGCUAGGUGGGUGUCCCCUUCCUCCCUCACCACUCCAUGUAAGUCCCUCCCAACGCUGCGCAUUCUGUGGAAGAGGAUGGCAUUCCCCAAAUAGAGAAGGACCAAUCUUCAGUCAAGGGUAUAUGAGUAGCUGUGUUCCCCUGCUAGAACCUCCAAAGAAGCUCUCAAGAAGAGAUAUACAUUGCCUACAUAUGUGCACUCAUUAGAGAAGUGCAAAUUAAAACAUAUUGAUAUUCCACCUUACAUCUAUGAGAAUGGACUCCAU
ensembl:misc_RNA 7SK 7SK RNA